rnacentral:rRNA from 1 species
CCUACGGGUGGCAGCAGUCGAGAAUCAUUCACAAUGGGGGAAACCCUGAUGGUGCGACGCCGCGUGGGGGAAUGAAGGUCUUCGGAUGGUAAACCCCUGUCAUGUGGGAGCAAAUUAAAAAGAUAGUACCACAAGAGGAAGAGACGGCUAACUCUGUGCCAGCAGCCGCGGUAAUACAGAGGUCUCAAGCGUUGUUCGGCAUCACGGGGCGUAAAGCGUGCGGAGGCUGUUUCGUAAGUCGUGUGUGAAAGGCGCGGGCUCAACCCGCGGACGGCACAUGAUACUGCGAGACUAGAGUAAUGGAGGGGGAACCGGAAUUCUCGGUGUAGCAGUGAAAUGCGUAGAUAUCGAGAGGAACACUCGUGGCGAAGGCGGGUUCCUGGACAUUAACUGACGCUGAGGCACGAAGGCCAGGGGAGCGAAAGGGAUUAGAUACCCCUGUAGUC